rnacentral:rRNA from 1 species
CCUACGUGUGGCAGCAGUGGGGAAUAUUGCACAAUGGGGGAAACCCUGAUGCAGCGACGCCGCGUGAGUGAAUAAGUAUUUCGUUACGUAAAGCUCUAUCAGCAGGGAAGAAAAUGACGGUACCUGACUAAGCAGCCCCGACUAACUACGUUCCAGCAGCCGCGGUAAUCCGGAGGGGGCAAGCGUUAUCCGGAUUUACUUGGUGUAAAGGGAGCGUAUACGGCAGGGCAAGUCUGGAUUGAAAUCCCAUGGCUUAACCAUGGGACUGGGUUGGAAACUGUGCAGCUGGAGUGCAGGAGAGGUAAGCGGAAUUCCUAGUGUAGCGGUGAAAUGCGUAGAUAUUAGGAGGAACACCAGUGGCGAAGGCGGCUUACUGGACUGUAACUGACGUUGAGGCUCGAAAGCGUGGGGAGCAAACAGGAUUAGAUACCCGAGUAGUC